CCUACGGGAGGCAGCAGUGGGGAAUAUUGGACAAUGGGGGCAACCCUGAUCCAGCAAUGCCGCGUGAGUGAUGAAGGCCUUCGGGUUGUAAAGCUCUUCCGGGUGGGACGAUGAUGACGGUACCACCAGAAGAAGCCCCGGCUAACUUCGUGCCAGCAGCCGCGGUAAUACGAAGGGGGCUAGCGUUGUUCGGAAUUACUGGGCGUAAAGCGCACGCAGGCGGUAUGAUGAGUCAGAAGUGAAAGCCCUGGGCUUAACCUAGGAAUUGCUUUUGAUACUGUCAUGCUAGAAUCCGUGAGAGGGCAGUGGAAUUCCGAGUGUAGAGGUGAAAUUCGUAGAUAUUCGGAAGAACACCAGUGGCGAAGGCGACUGCCUGGCACGGUAUUGACGCUCAUGUGCGAAAGCGUGGGGAGCAAACAGGAUUAGAUACCCUGGUAGUCCACGCUGUAAACGAUGAGAGCUAGAUGUUGGUAUGCAUGCAUAUCGGUGUCGUAGUUAACGCGUUAAGCUCUCCGCCUGGGGAGUACGGUCGCAAGAUUAAAACUCAAAGGAAUUGACGG
rnacentral:rRNA from 1 species